GCGACAAAAACGGGCUUCGGCCCGGUUCCAAGCCGCGAAGGGGUGAGUAUCACGUGGGUAACCUGCCCCGAUGACCGGGACAACUCUGCGGAAACUCGGGCUAAUACCGGAUGUGCUCUCAAUCCACCAGGGUUGGGAAAAAAGGAAGCUUCGGCCUCCGCAUCGGGUUGGGCCCGCGGCCCAUUAGCUUGUUGGUGAGGUAACGGCUCACCAAGGCGACGAUGGGUAGCUGGUCUGAGAGGACGAUCAGCCACACUGGGACUGAGACACGGCCCAGACUCCUACGGGAGGUAUCAGUGGGGAAUCUUGCGCAAUGUGCGAAAGCGUGACGCAGCAACGCCGCGUGAGGGAAAAAGGCCUUCGGGUUGUAAACCCUCUUUCAGGAGGGAUCAAGGUUCAUGCC
rnacentral:rRNA from 1 species